rnacentral:rRNA from 1 species
UACGUAGGUGGCAAGCGUUGUCCGGAAUUAUUGGGCGUAAAGAGCUCGUAGGCGGUUUGUCACGUCUGCUGUGAAAACUCGGGGCUUAACUCCGGGCCUGCAGUGGGUACGGGCAGACUAGAGUGCGGUAGGGGAGACUGGAAUUCCUGGUGUAGCGGUGGAAUGCGCAGAUAUCAGGAGGAACACCGGUGGCGAAGGCGGGUCUCUGGGCAGUAACUGACGCUGAGGAGCGAAAGCGUGGGGAGCGAACAGG